rnacentral:rRNA from 1 species
GGGUAACCUGCCUGUAAGACUGGGAUAACUCCGGGAAACCGGAGCUAAUACCGGAUAGUUCCUUGAACCGCAUGGUUCAAGGAUGAAAGACGGUUUCGGCUGUCACUUACAGAUGGACCCGCGGCGCAUUAGCUAGUUGGUGAGGUAACGGCUCACCAAGGCGACGAUGCGUAGCCGACCUGAGAGGGUGAUCGGCCACACUGGGACUGAGACACGGCCCAGACUCCUACGGGAGGCAGCAGUAGGGAAUCUUCCGCAAUGGACGAAAGUCUGACGGAGCAACGCCGCGUGAGUGAUGAAGGUUUUCGGAUCGUAAAGCUCUGUUGUUAGGGAAGAACAAGUGCAAGAGUAACUGCUUGCACCUUGACGGUACCUAACCAGAAAGCCACGGCUAACUACGUGCCAGCAGCCGCGGUAAUACGUAGGUGGCAAGCGUUGUCCGGAAUUAUUGGGCGUAAAGGGCUCGCAGGCGGUUUCUUAAGUCUGAUGUGAAAGCCCCCGGCUCAACCGGGGAGGGUCAUUGGAAACUGGGAAACUUGAGUGCAGAAGAGGAGAGUGGAAUUCCACGUGUAGCGGUGAAAUGCGUAGAGAUGUGGAGGAACACCAGUGGCGAAGGCGACUCUCUGGUCUGUAACUGACGCUGAGGAGCGAAAGCG